ACACAUCUUACACCACACACACCACACACCCCACACAUGCCUCACACACCUCACACACCUCAUACACCACACACACCACACACACCUCACACACCUCACACAUCACACAUCUUACACCACACACACCACACACACCACACAUGCCUCACACACCUCACACACCUCAUACACCACACACACCACACACACCUCACACACCUCACAUACCUCACACCACACACACUACACACACACACCUCACACACCUCACACCCCACACUCACCUCACACACCACACACAUCUCACACACUUCAUACACCUCACACACACACCACACAUACCUCACACAACACACACACCUCACACACCACACCCACCUCACACACCACACACACCUCACACACCACACAUACCUCACACCACACAUACUACACACACACACCUCACACACCUCACACACCACACUCACCUCACUCACCUCACACACCUCAUACACCUCACACACACACACCACACAUACCUCACACACACACAUCACACACACCACACAUACCUCACACACCUCAUACACCACACACACCUCACAUACCACACACACCACACACACAUCACACACCUCACACAUCACACAUAUCUUACACCACACACACCACACACACACACCUCACCACACACCUCACACAACACACACACCUCACACACCACGCAUACCUCACACACCUCACACACCACACAUCACACACACACACCUCACACACACCUCACACACACACACCUCACACACACACACCUCACACACACCUCACACACACCUCACACACACCUCACACACCACACACACCUUACAUACCUCACACACAGAUACCUCACACACACACCUCACACACACCUCACACCUCACACACCACACACACCUUACAUACCUCACACACAGAUACCUCACACACACACACCUCACACACACCUCACACACACACACCUCACACACACACACCUCACACACCUCACACAAACCUCACACACACACACGUCACACACCUCACACACACACAUCUCACACACACACCACGGACCCGCUCAGCCCAGGCGCUCAGGCUGUCCUAGACGAGCUCCGGGUCCUGGCCCGUACGCCCUCUGUCCCGCCCACCGCCGCCGCCUCCCUUCAGCCCCGUCCUGG
rnacentral:lncRNA from 1 species